rnacentral:rRNA from 1 species
GACGAACGCUGGCGGCGUGCUUAACACAUGCAAGUCGAACGAUGAAGCUAGAGCUUGCUCUGGUGGAUUAGUGGCGAACGGGUGAGUAACACGUGAGUAACCUGCCCCGAACUCUGGGAUAACUGCUGGAAACGGUAGCUAAUACCGGAUAUGACCAAUGAAGGCAUCUUCUGUUGGUGGAAAGAAUUUCGGUUCGGGAUGGACUCGCGGCCUAUCAGCUAGUUGGUGAGGUAACGGCUCACCAAGGCGACGACGGGUAGCCGGCCUGAGAGGGUGACCGGCCACACUGGGACUGAGACACGGCCCAGACUCCUACGGGAGGCAGCAGUGGGGAAUAUUGCACAAUGGGCGCAAGCCUGAUGCAGCAACGCCGCGUGAGGGAUGACGGCCUUCGGGUUGUAAACCUCUUUUAGUAGGGAAGAAGCGAAAGUGACGGUACCUGCAGAAAAAGCACCGGCUAACUACGUGCCAGCCGCCGCGGUAA